rnacentral:misc_RNA from 1 species
UAAGUAUAAUGUAACUACAUGAAGUAAAAGGUAUCAAAGUAGAACAAAAAUAAAAAUUUGACAGCCCUGCCCAUUAAUAACACCACACAAAAGAAGUUACCUACUCAUCAAAAGUAAAGAUGCAAUUACUUACAAUUUUUCUGUCUUUUCAUUGCGUCUUAUAUGUUUUUUCGAUACUGUCUUCUUUCUAGUUUUUUCUGGUGGUAAUUUCUCUAUUUUAGUAUCCAUUUUUUCAAUAAAAUCGUUUUAAAACACUCCUUACGACCUCUCAUAAAUGUCUCAAAACAACAACUGAAUAAAUUUAAAAUGGCGUCCAACACAUUAUACGGUGUUGUGAUUGGUCGAAAUGGAUAUGGCGCUAUUUGUUUUAAAGCUGCGUGAGGAUAUAGCCACUUUUGAACCACAAUGACAAAUAACGGUCGGGUUUUUUACUGUUU